rnacentral:sRNA from 1 species
UUUUAUCAACCACAAAUUAUUUAAAAUAUAACUUCAUGAUUGAUUGCCUAAUUUGGAGAGAAAUAGUCUAUAAAAUAAAUUUCCGAAAGCAGUAAACGAGAAGAGCGAACUAAACAAUCCACCUUACAAUUAUAUAAACGAGAAAUAUAAGAAAUCGAGAAACCGGAAAAUAACACACAAAGCAUUCUAAACUCAUCUAGUAGAUUGGAUAAAGUGGGUCAUUCUUCAAGAGACUGCACCAUCGAAGACUAACUUCUAACAAUCUGUUUCAAAAGCCUUACAAUCAAUCCUUCUUGAAAGGAUAUUCUUCAUAACCCAAAUUAAAACUUUCAUCUCCGAGUGUAGGGAGGAGGGACACCUCCGAAGACACUUUGCACCAAGAAAGACCCUUUGAUCAUUUCCUUGAAAACACCCAAAGAUUUUCAUGAACCAUCAAUCUAGUAUAUUAGAGAUUGAAUUGGAUUAGCC